rnacentral:rRNA from 1 species
UACGGGGGGAGCAAGCGUUGUUCGGAUUUACUGGGCGUAAAGGGCGCGUAGGCGGCGCAACAAGUCACUUGUGAAAUCUCCGGGCUUAACUCGGAACGGCCAAGUGAAACUGUCAAGCUAGAGUGCAGAAGGGGCAAUCGGAAUUCUUGGUGUAGCGGUGAAAUGCGUAGAUAUCGAGAGGAACACCUGCGGCGAAGGCGGGUUGCUGGGCUGAUACUGACGCUGAGGCGCGAAAGCCAGGGGAGCGAACGGG